rnacentral:rRNA from 1 species
UACAGAGGUCUCAAGCGUUGUUCGGAAUUACUGGGCGUAAAGGGCUCGUAGGUGGCCAACUAAGUCAGACGUGAAAUCCCCAAGCUUAACUUGGGAACUGCCGUGGAUACUAUCAAUCUUGAAUAUCGUGGAGGUAAGCGGAAUAUGUCAUGUAGCGGUGAAAUGCUUAGAUAUGACAUAGAACACCAAUUGCGUAGGCAGCUUACUACACGAUCAUUGACGCUGAGGCACGAAAGCGUGGGGGGCAAACAGG